rnacentral:rRNA from 1 species
AUCCUGGCUCAGGACGAACGCUGGCGGCGUGCUUAACACAUGCAAGUCGAACGGUGAAGCGCCUUCCUUUUUGGUGGGUGUGGAUGAGUGGCGAACGGGUGAGUAACACGUGAGUAACCUGCCCCCUUCUUCUGGAUAACCGCAUGAAAGUGUGGCUAAUACGGGAUAUUCUGUGCCUGCUGCAUGGUGGGUGUGGGAAAGAUAUUGUUUCGGUGGGGGAUGGGCUCGCGGCCUAUCAGCUUGUUGGUGGGGUGAUGGCCUACCAAGGCGGUGACGGGUAGCCGGCCUGAGAGGGUGGACGGUCACACUGGGACUGAGACACGGCCCAGACUCCUACGGGAGGCAGCAGUGGGGAAUAUUGCACAAUGGGCGCAAGCCUGAUGCAGCGACGCCGCGUGAGGGAUGGAGGCCUUCGGGUUGUGAACCUCUUUCGCCAGUGAAGCAGGCCUGCUCCUGUGUGGGUGGGUUGACGGUAGCUGGAUAAGAAGCGCCGGCUAACUACGUGCCAGCAGCCGCGGUAAUACGUAGGGCGCGAGCGUUGUCCGGAAUUAUUGGGCGUAAAGAGCUCGUAGGCGGCUGGUCGCGUCUGUCGUGAAAUCCUCUGGCUUAACUGGGGGCUUGCGGUGGGUACGGGCCGGCUUGAGUGCGGUAGGGGAGACUGGAACUCCUGGUGUAGCGGUGGAAUGCGCAGAUAUCAGGAAGAACACCGGUGGCGAAGGCGGGUCUCUGGGCCGUUACUGACGCUGAGGAGCGAAAGCGUGGGGAGCGAACAGGAUUAGAUACCCUGGUAGUCCACGCUGUAAACGGUGGGUACUAGGUGUGGGUCGCAUUCCACGUGAUCCGUGCCGUAGCCAACGCAUUAAGUACCCCGCCUGGGGAGUACGGCCGCAAGGCUAAAACUCAAAGGAAUUGACGGGGGCCCGCACAAGCGGCGGAGCAUGCGGAUUAAUUCGAUGCAACGCGAAGAACCUUACC